GACGAACGCUGGCGGCGUGCUUAACACAUGCAAGUCGAACGGAAAGGCCCUGCUUUUGUGGGGUGCUCGAGUGGCGAACGGGUGAGUAACACGUGAGUAACCUGCCCUUGACUUUGGGAUAACUUCAGGAAACUGGGGCUAAUACCGGAUAGGAGCUCCUGCUGCAUGGUGGGGGUUGGAAAGUUUCGGCGGUUGGGGAUGGACUCGCGGCUUAUCAGCUUGUUGGUGGGGUAGUGGCUUACCAAGGCUUUGACGGGUAGCCGGCCUGAGAGGGUGACCGGCCACAUUGGGACUGAGAUACGGCCCAGACUCCUACGGGAGGCAGCAGUGGGGAAUAUUGCACAAUGGGCGGAAGCCUGAGGCAGCAACGCCGCGUGCGGGAUGACGGCCUUCGGGUUGUAAACCGCUUUCGCCUGUGACGAAGCGUGAGUGACGGUAACGGGUAAAGAAGCACCGGCUAACUACGUG
rnacentral:rRNA from 1 species